rnacentral:rRNA from 1 species
CCCUUAGAUGUUCUGGGCCGCACGCGCGCUACACUGACUGGUGCAACAAGUGUCGCUCCUUGGCCGAUAGGCCUGGGCAAUCUUUGAACGCCAGUCGUGAUGGGGAUAGAUUCUUGCAAUUUUUGAUCUUCAACGAGGAAUUCCUAGUAAACGCGAGUCAUCAACUCGCAUUGAUUACGUCCCUGCCCUUUGUACACACCGCCCGUCGCACCUACCGAUUGAACGGUCCGGUGAACCCUCCGGAUCGGCUCGCGCCAACGCAAGUUGAGCAAAGGCCGAGAAGUUGGGUAAACCUUACCAUUUAGAGGAAGGUGAAGUCGUAACA